GACGAACGCUGGCGGCGUGCUUAACACAUGCAAGUCGAGCGGUAAGGCCCUUCGGGGUACACGAGCGGCGAACGGGUGAGUAACACGUGGGUGAUCUGCCUCGCACUCUGGGAUAAGCCUGGGAAACUGGGUCUAAUACCGGAUAUGACCUUACAUCGCAUGGUGUUUGGUGGAAAGAUUUAUCGGUGCGAGAUGGGCCCGCGGCCUAUCAGCUUGUUGGUGGGGUAAUGGCCUACCAAGGCGACGACGGGUAGCCGGCCUGAGAGGGCGACCGGCCACACUGGGACUGAGACACGGCCCAGACUCCUACGGGAGGCAGCAGUGGGGAAUAUUGCACAAUGGGCGAAAGCCUGAUGCAGCGACGCCGCGUGAGGGAUGACGGCCUUCGGGUUGUAAACCUCUUUCGACAGGGACGAAGCGCAAGUGACGGUACCUGUAGAAGAAGCACCGGCCAACUACGUGCCAGCAG
rnacentral:rRNA from 1 species